GAUGAACGCUGGCGGCGUGCCUAAUACAUGCAAGUCGAGCGAACGGACGAGAAGCUUGCUUCUCUGAUGUUAGCGGCGGACGGGUGAGUAACACGUGGAUAACCUACCUAUAAGACUGGGAUAACUUCGGGAAACCGGAGCUAAUACCGGAUGAUAUAUUGAACCGCAUGGUUCAAGAGUGAAAGACGGUCUUGCUGUCACUUAUAGAUGGAUCCGCGCUGCAUUAGCUAGUUGGUAAGGUAACGGCUUACCAAGGCAACGAUGCUUAGCCGACCUGAGAGGGUGACCGGCCACCCUGGAACUGAGACACGGUCCAGACUCCUACGGGAGGCAGCAGUAGGGAAUCUUCCGCAAAGGGCGAAAGCCUGACGGAGCAACGCCGCGUGAGUGAUGAAGGUCUUCGGAUCGUAAAACUCUGUUAUUAGGGAAGAACAAAUGUGUAAGUAACUGUGCACAUCUUGACGGUACCUAAUCAGAAAGCCACGGCUAACUACGUG
rnacentral:rRNA from 1 species